AUGGGCGCAAGCCUGAUGCAGCGACGCCGCGUGAGGGAUGACGGCCUUCGGGUUGUAAACCUCUGUUAGCAUCGAAGAAGCGAAAGUGACGGUAGGUGCAGAGAAAGCGCCGGCUAACUACGUGCCAGCAGCCGCGGUAAUACGUAGGGCGCGAGCGUUGUCCGGAAUUAUUGGGCGUAAAGAGCUUGUAGGCGGUUGGUCGCGUCUGCUGUGAAAGGCUGGGGCUUAACCCUGGUUUUGCAGUGGGUACGGGCUAACUAGAGUGCAGCAGGGGAGACUGGAAUUCCUGGUGUAGCGGUGGAAUGCGCAGAUAUCAGGAGGAACACCGAUGGCGAAGGCAGGUCUCUGGGCUGUAACUGACGCUGAGAAGCGAAAGCAUGGGGAGCGAACAGGAUUAGAUACCCUGGUAGUCCAUGCCGUAAACGUUGGGCACUAGGUGUGGGGGACAUUCCACGUUUUCCGCGCCGUAGCUAACGCAUUAAGUGCCCCGCCUGGGGAGUACGGCCGCAAGGCUAAAACUCAAAGAAAUUGACGAGGGCCCGCACAAGCGGCGGAGCAUGCGGAUUAAUUCGAUGCAACGCGAAGAACCUUACCAAGGCUUGACA
rnacentral:rRNA from 1 species